rnacentral:rRNA from 1 species
CCAAUAGCGUAUAUUAAAGUUGUUGCAGUUAAAAAGCUCGUAGUUGAAUUUCGGGAUCAAUAUGUCGGUCGUGCCUCCGGUACGUACUGGCGUCAUUGGUUUCUCCCUUCUGAUGAACCACGAUGUCAUUAAUUUGGUGUCAUGGGGAAUCAGGACUGUUACUUUGAAAAAAUUAGAGUGUUUAAAGCAGGCUCACGCUUGAAUACAUUAGCAUGGAAUAAUGAAAUAGGACGUUUGAUUCUAUUUUGUUGGUUUCUAGGAUCGACGUAAUGAUUAAUAGGGAUAGUUGGGGGCAUUAGUAUUCAAUUGUCAGAGGUGAAAUUCUUGGAUUUAUUGAAGACUAACUACUGCGAAAGCAUUUGCCAAGGAUGUUUUCAUUAAUCAAGAACGAAAGUUAGGGGAUCGAAGACGAUCAGAUACCGUCGUAGUCUUAACCAUAAAUUAUGCCGACUAGGGAUCGGAUGAUGUUAAUUUUUUAAUGACUCAUUCGGCGCCUUACG